UACGGGGGGGCAAGCGUUGUUCGGAAUUACUGGGCGUAAAGGGCUCGUAGGCGGCCAACUAAGUCGGAUGUGGAAUCCCCAGGCUCAACUUGGGAACUGCAUCCGAUACUGGAUGGCUUGAAUUCGGGAGAGGGAUGCAGAAUUCCAGGUGUAGCGGUGAAAUGCGUAGAUAUCUGGAGGAAUACCGGUGGCGAAGGCGGCAUCCUGGACCGACAUUGACGCUGAGGAGCGAAAAGCUAGGGGAGCAAACGGGG
rnacentral:rRNA from 1 species